AACGAACGCUGGCGGCAUGCCUAACACAUGCAAGUCGAACGAGACCUUCGGGUCUAGUGGCGCACGGGUGCGUAACGCGUGGGAAUCUGCCCUUGGGUACGGAAUAACAGCGAGAAAUUGCUGCUAAUACCGUAUAAUGACGUAAGUCCAAAGAUUUAUCGCCCAGGGAUGAGCCCGCGUAGGAUUAGCUUGUUGGUGAGGUAAAAGCUCACCAAGGCGACGAUCCUUAGCGGUCUGAGAGGAUGAUCAGCCACACUGGGACUGAGACACGGCCCAGACUCCUACGGGAGGGCAGCAGUGGGGAAGUAUUGGACAAUGGGCGAAAGCCUGAUCCAGCAAUGCCGCGUGAGUGAUGAAGGCCUUAGGGUUGUAAAGCUCUUUUGUCCCCGGGGAUGAUAAUGACAGUACCGGGAGAAUAAGCUCCGGCUAACUCCGUGCCAGCCGCCGCGGUAAU
rnacentral:rRNA from 1 species